rnacentral:rRNA from 1 species
AUUGAACGCUGGCGGCAGGCCUAACACAUGCAAGUCGAGCGGAUGAAGGGAGCUUGCUCCUGGAUUCAGCGGCGGACGGGUGAGUAAUGCCUAGGAAUCUGCCUGGUAGUGGGGGAUAACGUCCGGAAACGGGCGCUAAUACCGCAUACGUCCUGAGGGAGAAAGUGGGGAAUCUUCGGACCUCACGCUAUCAGAUGAGCCUAGGUCGGAUUAGCUAGUUGGUGGGGUAAAGGCCUACCAAGGCGACGAUCCGUAACUGGUCUGAGAGGAUGAUCAGUCACACUGGAACUGAGACACGGUCCAGACUCCCACGGGAGGCAGCAGUGGGGAAUAUUGGACAAUGGGCGAAAGCCUGAUCCAGCCAUGCCGCGUGUGUGAAGAAGGUCUUCGGAUUGUAAAGCACUUUAAGUUGGGAGGAAGGGCAGUAAGUUAAUACCUUGCUGUUUUGACGUUACCAACAGAAUAAGCACCGGCUAACUUCGUG